rnacentral:lncRNA from 1 species
CUGAUCACCUUAGUGGCCCUCUUCUGGACCUGCUCCAAGAGCUCCAUGUCCUUCCUGUACUGGGGGCCCCAGGCCUGGAUGCAGUACUCCAGAUGAGGCCUCACAAGAGCUGAGUAGAGGGGCACAAUCACCUCCCUCUCCCUGCUGGCCACCCCUUUUUUAAUGCAGCCCAGAACACAGUUGGCUUUCCAGGCUGCAAGCACACACUGCUAGCUCAUGUCCAGCUUCUCAUCCACCAGGACCCCCAAGUCCUUCUCUGCAGGGCUGCUCUCCAGGAGAUCCUCUCCCAGUUUGUAUAAAUACCUGGGAUUGCCUUGACCCAAGUGCAGCACCCUCAUUGGGUUUUCAUGGGCCCACUUCCCUGGCCUGACCAGGUCCCUAUGGAUGGCUUCCCUUCCUUAUAAUGUAUCUACUGUACCGUUAAGCUUGGUGUCAUUCAUGAACUUUCUGGGGGUGCACCCGAUGCUAUUGUCUAUGUCAUUGAUAAAGAUGUUGAAGAGCACUGCUCCCAAAACUGACCCCUGAGUGAAUCCACUUGUGACCAGCCUCCACCCUGACACAGAACCACUGGUCACAACCCUUUGACUGCAUCCAGCAAGACAAUCCCUAAUCCACUGAACAGUCCAUCCUUCAAAUCCACACUUCUCCAAUUUAGACGGAAGGAUGUGGUGAGGGACCAUGUCAAAGGCCUUGCAGAAGUCCAGGUAGAUGACAUCCACCACCUUUCCCCUGUCCACCGAAGCUGUCACUCUAUCAUAGAAGGCCACCAGAUUGGUCAGACAAGAUCUGCCCCUUGUGAAGCCAUGCUGGCUGUCUCAAAUCACCUUUUUAUGUCAUAUGUGCGUUAACAUAGCUUCUAGGAGGAUCUGCUCCAUGAUCUUCCCAGGCACAGAGAUGAGGCUCACCAGCCUGUAGUUCCCCGAAUCCUCCUUUCUCCCUUUCUUAAAAAUAGGAGUAAUGUUUCCCUUUUUCCAGUCGCUGGGGAGUUCACCAGACAGCAUGAUUUUUUCAAAUAUGAUGGAGAGCAGCUCGGCAACCACAUUCAGAACCCUAGGAUGCAUAUCAUCCAGUCCCAUGGACUUACACGUAAUUUCUAAGACUUCAGAAACAUCAAAAUCAUACUACUAUGUUUAGAAAUUGUUAAUCAUUGGAAUAAAAUGGAUUCAAUUUACAAUUCACUAAGAUGUUGCAGUGCAAUAACUUGAUCUGCACUGUUAUGAUGACUUGCAGCCUGAAAUUGUUUGCCAUCACCUGAGGAUAAUUUUCUAUUGAAAAACUUGUUUCUGAUUUUUGCUGCCACCCAAAGGUUGCACUAUUUAUGAUCAGGGGUCCACUGUGUGAAGACCCAUGGCAAUGUGGAUCAGAAGAGAAACACAGAGUAGAGUUGCAGUCUACUUUAAAGUGAGAUUGGUGAAAUAGAAAAUACUCGUACUCCUGGAAAGACAACUGAGACAAGGAGGGUUCCAGUGCCUGGGGAACAAAGACAUGGAAACUAGCUUUGUGCAACAGUCAUAAAUGUGUGAUUUUAUUCAUUAGUUAUCAGUGUUCUUCUGCAAUUUUUAACUAGUUUUAAAGAUUACUGUACAAUCAUAGCCGUUGACUCUGGUGUAACCUUUAAAAACAAGUGUGUAUGUAACAUUUUGGGUAGAUCUGUUGUCUUUUACAAGACUUCAUUCUUUUUAUUUUCAGUUUUUAAUGGGCUUGUAUAGCAGUUACUGGUACUACAACAUAUACACUUCAGAGAAUAGUAGUUGGCAGUAGAAACAGAAAUGUGUAUUACUAUCUUCAGAACUGAUCCUUAAACAACAUUUUCUCUGGUACCUUUCUUCAAACAUCUGAAUCUAAUGAGUGAACAAUAAUCUAUAAAACUAAUCAAAGCUAAUAAUAAUAAUAAUAAUAAUAAUGAAAGAGUUGCCAGAUUACUUUUACUGUGUAGGCUAAAACCAGAAAAUACUUUUAAAGACAAAAAUAUCUUUUUUUCCCCUUUUAAUUCUGCAUUUUUUCAUGCAAUAGGAUGGCUGCACAAGAAUUAUGGUCUAUUUGUCCCAAGAAUGUGAUACUUUCGUUCACAUCUAUAAAUAUAAUGAGAAACAAGACCAGAGAUUAAUUUUAUUUAGUUGAUGGAAGAUUUUUUUCUCUGUAUCUCAAAAAUAAGCACUGAAUUUUCAGUCUUAAUGAUUCAUUAUUACAAUAAGAAUGAUUAAAAAAAAAAAAAACACCACAAAACAAUAACACAACCAAAGUCAAACAAACAAAAAAUCCCAACAAAAUAGGCUUGACAUUUCUCCAAAUGUUAACUCUGUUAGUAUCACAUCCAGCCCACCUUUGUCUAUAAUCUGACACUGAAUUUGCAUUUUAUUCUUUAUUACCUUCUUUUCCUCUUGUUGUUUCUUUCUUUGUCUUCUAGGGAGAUCACAGUCUUCUUAUCCAUCAUUUUUUUCCAUCAUGUGCACCUGAAGUUAUUUUUUCUCAAUAAUAUAUUUUUAUACUUUUCUUGGAAUACCUUCCAAGCUGAUACUUUUAAUGGAUAAUAUUUUUAUUUCAAAUGCCAGUUGUACUAUGGAGAAUUGUAUUAAAAAUUAUUAAGUAAUACUGAUAAAUGAAGGACAACCUUUUCCCUUGCUUAUUAUUUUCAGAUAACAUACUGCAAUGCACAAUUUGUUAACUGUUUCAGUAUUCUGAUUAAAAGCAAUUGCAUUAAUUUCCCAUCUUGAAGCAUGAUUGUUACAUUUAAAACUAUUCCCAUUAAAUCAGUACCACUUCACUGGAUUUAUAUCUCCGAAGAUCCCUCCUGGAACAUUGCCUUCCUGUACAAAUCCAGAUUCUGUCAUUGCUGUUUAUGUUAUACUUGCCUCUUGGUGAUUCAGUGAUUUUCAUAUUACCACAAGUAAUGAGGAGCUGUGCAAUGGAAGACUUCUGUCCUUAUAGAGCAUACCAUGAGAGUGUACCAUGAGCGCAUCACUGCUGAUUGCAGCUUCCUUUAGUGGUUUGCUCACUGAAUCAGAAUUACCAGCCUGACCUGCCACAGAGAUCAAGCAGCACUCAGGAGAUGUUGAAUUCAGGGCAAAAGGAAAGGAAGCAGACAGUACUUUUGUUACAAAAUGCCUCUAGGCCAGGGAAUAAAAAAAAAGAAAAAGAAAAAAGAAAGAAAACCUUGCAGUUUUGGUAGUGGCUCUGUUUUUUUCCUAUUGCCCUUUUCUUCAGUUUUUGGGCAGCUUGUUAAUGUUCAUUCUGAUCUGCAUUAUUUCAUCUCUAUGCCUGUAAUAGGAGAGUUAAAAUAAAGACCAUUUUGAGCCACCUUCGAUCCACACCUGAGAAGAGGCUUGGAAUGUGUACAGAUGAAGACAGAUGUGCUGAAAGAGUAAAGCUAUACCAGAGAGGUUCCUGCUCAUUAGCUACCCACUUUCUUCCUUUACCUAACUGAUGCAAUGUGUUUAGUAUUCUUCCUCAUCUUCCAUUCCUCUUCCUGUAUAUUCCCACUCUUUCUCCUACUUCUCUUCCUUUAGGUAAGGUUUUUAUCAACAAGUGUUAAUGGAAAGUGUCAGUGUCAGCUUUCCAUCCCACUGUACAUUUCAUUCCAAGCUGAAAGCCAGGUCUCAGAUUCAAUGCUUCAGUCCUUCCCACGGUGUCUGGUGUUGCUCUCAUGUUGAGCAGACCAAGCAGUGAGAAGUUGUACUCCAGAGCAUUCUCUACUUAACUGCGGUAGCCCUGAACCAGGGCACAUUCUGGUACUGGGUGAUUUCUGGGAGCAGUUAGUAGCCAAACUCACUUCCACAGAGUAUGUCAGGAGAUAAGUCUUUCAGGGCAUUGUGUAUUAUCAAGAUUCUGUACUUUUUCAAGGAAUAUGAAAGGCAGUUUUGUUUAUACAUUUUACAUUGUUACUCCAUAGUGCAAACUGACAAGUUGUCUGAUGAAACUGAGAAAUGAAUUUGCAAAGCUCAGACAAACCAAAUCCUUUCCUCCCUUUCCUUGUCUAAGUUCAGUCUGGAAUUGUAUAUCUAAACAGUUUUUCCAUUGUUAAAAAAGAAUAAACAAACCAACCAAACAACAACAACAAAAAAUCCCUCAAGGUGAUAACAGGUUAUAUAUAUCAUAGAAUCAUAGAAUGGUUUGGGUUGGAAGGGACCUUUAAGGCCAUAUAAUUCCAAAUCCCCUGCUACAGGCAGGGACAUCUCCCACUAGACCAGGCUGCUGAAAGCCCCAUCCAGGCUGGUCCUGUGUGCUUGCAGGGAUGGGGCAUCCACAACCUCGCUGGGCAGCCUGUUCACCACCCUCACAGUAAAUAUAUAUAUAUUUCUUUUUAUAGUUACUGGCAAAACUGUAAAUUCCUGAAAGCAGAGGAUGUCAUGGAAAAUUUUGAGCAAUACAAAUGCUGAAACUUCCUGUCUCCUGUAAAUAAAUUCAAAGUUUUGUUUUUAUCUGCAUUUCUAGUAAUAAUGAGAAAUAGCACUGAAGUGUAAUGGCAGCUUUGGUAUCAUAAUACUGAUUAUAAUUGGAUACAUACCGUAAUAACAUCACACUACCUUGAGCUGUUCAGAUUUGGGCAUGUUGUAAGGUUAGAGUUUUUUUGAAUCAUACCAAGGUUCAGCAAAGUACUUAGUUAUUUUCUAUUGCAGAAUUAUUUUACAGCUUUACCAAGACUUAAAAGGGAGAAGUGAAAUAAAUAAAUAAAUAAAUACUUUCUUUAUUCAGAUAGUUGUUAUUUGAUAUUCUGUUUGUAUACAUAGUAGAGUCAUAGAACAAGAAAAAAAAAACAAAACCUUUUAUACGUUUUAUUUUAAGGACAUUUGCAAAAUUACUAGAUGAGACAUUCGUCUAAUAAAACUAUGUUCAAAACAUUACAAAAUCAUUGCAAGGCUGCUGUUUAUGAAUAGUCCACCUUCCAGGUCCUUUGAACUUGCUUUUGAUACAUGGCUAUGAAUAUAAAUUAGUAUCAGAGGAAUCCAUCCUGUUUUUUUUUUUUUUUUUUUUUUUUUUUUUUUUUUUGAGAAUUGCUGGAGAAACAGAAUGAACAGAAUGAGAGAUACAAACAGACAGGUGGCUCUAAUACCGCACAGUUCAUGUCUCAUAGUCUUAUAACCCUCCAGUAUAGAUUUGUUAUAACAUUUUAAAUGUAUUCAUCAUGAUGCAGUGUUAAUUCUGUUUAGUAGACAUAGAAAUGCUUUUUAUUUUCUUUUCCAGAGAUGUUUUCUUACAAAAUUUUAUUUUGGUUUUUUGUAAUACUGUGAGUUAUUCAGACACCACUAUAUUUUCAGCUACCAUUAAUCUUUACCAUUUUGUCUUCAGAUUCCACUGCUUUUCAAACAAAGCCAAAAAACACGGCAUAAGGUUUAGCAGUCUCAUAGGAAAACUAGUGCCGUACAGUACAUUUUUACAUAGAGUAAAACAUUUUUACCUAUAAGAGUGAUACUUCAUACAAAAAAGUAUAACAAAGAGGCAAUCCUUUAGAGAAAACUUAUCACAUUUCUCAUGCAUCAACAUUUCUAAACAGAAAUACAGUGCUUCAGGGUUUUUGUUAUUGAUAAUUUGUUGUCAUUUGGAAGGUAUAUAGGGAAUGCAUAUGGGCAACAAUCAGAGUUUUAAUCAUUUGCAAGAAGUCUGUAAAAUUGAUUAUGCCUCCUGAAUAAUAAUUUCCACUAUCUAUCACAGAUAGAAUAUCUUGCAGUCCCAUUUGUAAACACUAUGUUUACAUGUUGCCUACUGUUGUGUUGUGGGAUGCAUUACUACAAAUAAAAAUGAAAGAUACUCUCAGAUUUGAAUAUAGAGUAUCAUUCCUUUUUGUUUAGAUGAUGUGAUUUUCAGGUUCUCUAAAGGCUGUACAAAUUCAAACCACAUCUUAAAUAUUUAGUAUGCCUUCAGUACAUUCCUGAUAAAGCUAUCUUUAAAAAAUCACAAUAAUUUAAAUUUUUAGCCAUUUUCCUUAUUAUAUUACCAUUUACAAAGGUUGUGUUACUUCUUGUGUAGCAACUAAAAGAAGUCCUGUUCAUCUUGCUAAGCAAAAGACAAGGAAGUGCUGAUAUUUCCCUUUAACUUGGGGAAUAUGCUUUCUCCCAGAUUAAAUACCUCUCUUAUCUAAACUACUCUGAAUUUCCAAAAGAUUGCAUAUACUUGAAGACAAGGACACAGUUCAAAGAAACUGUGAUUAUGUUCCUUGAAUCUUUUAUACUCAAACAGUUACAUGAAAUCAGAAUAACAAAGCUUCAUGACUAUUUCUUGUCAAACUAUGGAUACUGAAGAAAAAUGUGUAUCCUUAGCCAUCUGCACUUGAGAAAUAAAAUAUACAAGCUUGAAACAGAAGCACACAACCUUUCUAACUUUAGACAUGAAGCACUCGUUAAGGGAAUAACAUCAGUGGAAACUGUGACAGAAGAAGGCGGAAGUGCCUGGAGUAGUCCUGAUGGCCAUUAGAUGUGCUGAAUUUUCUGAUAAUCCAAAUGUUAGCUUAAAUCCCCUUGGAGCAGAUGCAGUGAACUUUAGCUUUUAAGUUCACUACCUGUCUAGGUUAACUUCAGCUGCUUCCAGGUGCCAUACCAGGUUAUACUGACAGACUUUUUUACGUGGUAUCUUUUGGUGUUCACUCAGCAAAAUAAACUGGAAAGAAUGAAGGGAACCUAACCACAGUUAAGUUAUUCUCACUGAUAAAUCGCAAUGAUGUUAUGGGCAACGUGAGGCUGGUGGGAUCUCUACUUGGCUUGGCUUGGCUACCAGAGCUGAUCUUAGGGCUGCCUUUUUUCACUGCUGUUGCCACAAGUUUACUGAGAUUAAGGCAAACACUCCUGUCCUGACUGUAAGUACAACUUUUUAGUUUAUGUAGAAAUACUUCCUGUUCAUGGGUCAUCACUUGUUUUUCAUAGUACUGUAGUGGGAGAAUUGUAUUAUUAGUACAUAGAUAGUUGCUAUUAAUUGAAUAUGAUCAUAAGCUGCUCUCCAAAUUCCUCAUCAGAAAUGCUUUAUUUCACUUCUAUACAAGUUUAAUUUUUUCUUUUGUAACUGACCUUCACCAUAUCCAAUUAAAAUCUUUCCCAUUACCUGGGCCUGAGAUAUUUCUUUUUGGAGUCUUAAUUCAUUUUAUUCUUAGAAGGAAGAAGUAGUAUGUUUUAUGUACUAGUGAUCUUUUUUAUUGUUAUUACUUUCAUUUUAGACCACGUCCUUAGUGUUUCUUAUUCAAUAUUACUGCUUCAUGGAAAUAUGAGAGCAGUCCUACCUCAAAUAAGGAACAACUCAGUCAUCAUAUUAUAAACGGUAAAAGAAUUUGAUUCCUUUGACUGCCUCUAAAAACAAAAUAAAAUACAUUUGAGUCUUUAGAUAAGGUUAAAUCCUCACUAGAAAUAUGUUGCAUCUCUUUCUAGAAAGAAGAGUAUUUAAUUGUUAGCUUUAAACAAUAACAACAUCAACAAUAAUAAUAAUUAAUAAUAAUAAUAAUAAAUAGCUAUUCAAAUGGAACUUGCUUGAUAGCCUAAGAUGUUGGAUAUUUCAUAUCAUAUAGCUUCUUACCAGGAAAGGGAGAGUAUUCCAUCUGGAGUAGAUGUAGACAGAAGAGUCUUUACAUUGGAGUGCAUAGUACUGGCUUUGCUACCAGUGGAUAAGCAGACAAAUUACUGGAAAGUAUAAUAUAAUCUGGAACUGAGGAACACAAGGAUAAGUAUAAUAAACUGGGGAUUUUUCAGCAUACCUUUUGUGAAAGGAAGUUAUGUCCCUGACUUGUAAAGUCUUUUGAAAGAACUAAGGGAACAUAAGGACAAAGGUUGAACUAGUCAAUAUAAUCUGCUUUGAUUUUCAGAAACCUCUCAGCAAAAUUUCUUAUCAAAUAAAUAAUAAGAAAUAAAUAAUAAGAAAUAAAGCUUUCAUUGAACAAGAGGGAAAAUGAAUAAUUCUGUGUUUUAAAAAAUGAAGAAAAUAAUAAUUCUGAUAUAAAAUAAUAAAAAUGGUCCAUAUUCAGAAUAGUGGAAAAAUUAAUUUUCACAGAAUAUUUACCCUAACAUAUGCAUAAAUAGAUAGAUGCCAGUAUUUUAUAGUGAUACUUAAUUAGUCAUGGUAGUAUACUCAGAAGCAAACUCACAUUUUGAGAUACAGAGUGAGAUAGUAGUAAUACUACAGAUGAAUACAAAGACAGGCAUGUCGGGGAAAACCAGUUGUACCUAUACACAGAUAUUGAUAGAUAUUGUCUCUAAACUGGCUGUUAAAAGUGAAAAUGAAUUUUUGAGCUAGAUAGUUCUAUAAAACAUUGGAGAGUGAUGACAGGUUUAAUCAUAGAUAUGGAGUGGUGUCUCCACGAGAAGACCUAAGUAGAAUAAGAUGUUAGUAAGAUAAAAGAAGUGCUUGAACAUGUGUAAGGUAAAAGCCUAUAAAAUCCUGCUGGGGAUGGGCAGAAACAUGAUUAUUAACUUCUUCUUCUAAGUAUCAUGUCUUAUUAAAUCAAAUUGUAGAGUAGAAGGUAUAACAUUUUGGAAAUUGAGAUAUUUUUCUCGUGCAGAGCAUAUUGCAGUCAUAUGAGGUCAUUUCCAUAGGAAGACUUAGAGUCCAAAACUGCACAGAGAUUCAAAGACUCACUGAAUUCGUGGAAGAAAGUUGCCACAAGGAGUGUCAAACAUAAAGAUCCAAAUGUAGUUUUCUAAGCACUGAAAACACACACCAAAGGGAACUGGGAGAAGGUGGUUUAGAAGUCUUGUGUGAUUGUUACACAUGAAGAAGAUUUGUAGAGAUAGUUAUAUUCAUUAUAUAAUGACUAUGUUCUGGGCUGCAUUAAAAAAAGGGGUGGCCAGCAGGGAGAGGGAGGUGAUUGUGCCCCUCUACUCUUGUGAGACCCCAUCUGGAGUACUGCAUCCAGGCCUGGGGCCCCCAGUACAGGAAGGACAUGGAGCUCUUGGAGCAGGUCCAGAGGAGGGCCACCAAGGUGAUCAGAGGGCUGGAGCACCUCUCCUAUGAGGAAAGGCUGAGGGAACUGGGAUUGUUUAGCUUGGAGAAGAGAAGUUUCCGGGGACACCUUCCAGUACUUGAAGGGAGCGUAUAAACAGGAGGGGGAAAGACUGUUUACGAGGGUGGACAGUGAUAGGACAAGGGGGAAUGGUUUUGAACUGAGACAGGGGAGGUUUAGGUUAGAUAUUAGGAGGAUGUUUUUCACACACAGGUUGGUGAUACACUGGAACAGGUUUCCCAAGUUGGUGGUGGAUGCCCCAUUGCUGGAGGCAUUCAAGGCCAGGCUGGAUGUGUCUCUGGGCAGCCUGGUCUAGUAGUUGGCAACCCUGCCCAUAGCAGGGGGGGUUGAAACUAGAUGAUUAUUGUGGUCCAUUUCAACCCGGGCCAUUCUAUGAUUCUAUGAAUGGAAAACUUGCUCUUGGUGACCCUUCUAGAGCAGGUGGGUUGCACCAGGCAAGUGCCAGAUGUCCCUCUCAAAGUCAGUCAUUCUGAGAUUAUACUGUAUCAGACAAAUGAUACACCGAAGAAUCUUUGGUCUGGCUGGUACUCCUAUUUACAUAAACUUAGAGCCUAAUAUGAAUCUAACUCCUUGUAGCCCAUGCUUCAAGUAACAGUGGUUACUGUUGUACUGGGCACUUGAAGUGGUCUGAUUGGUUACCAAAUCAGACCCUGUGUUCACCUGCCAGAGUUUCUUGUGUUAAAUAUAGACCAGUAAGAAAUGUUUAGAAAAGGAUUUAAGGUCUCCAUCAGCACAGUUAUACUUCCAUUGCUGCUGCCUAUGAUCCCUGGCUUGGUGAUUCUCUAAGCUGGAAUUUUUCUCUCUUUUACUACAUAUCUUGUGCUGGAUUUUCAUAUAAAUACAAUCAAAUAUAUACAAAAAAAUGAUAUAAAGAAUUUCAACAAUGCUCACAUGCAAUAUGAAGAUUUUUUUUCUUGUAGUGUUUGAAUUACCUCAUAGUUACAUUUUACGUCCCUCUUCUACUUGUAUUUAUAGUGCAUGGUUCUUUAGGCAAGUAGUUUCCUUUUCACUAUAAGAUUAUUGAUUUUACAUUUUCUUUUCUGGUUAAGUGUUGUUACUUGCCUAAUCUCUCAAAUAGAAGCUGACCCAUACUUUCAUUUAUCUCUACCAUCUCCAUCUUGGCUAUGCAUUCUCUAGUUUUCUAUCUACAGAGAGACUGACUUCAGACACAUCUUAAGAUCUGUUAAUGUUAGACCAGCUUUUGCAGUGUUAAAAAUGAGUAACGAGAAGUCUCACAGUCUGUCUUCUAUCACUUGCAGGCAGACCUAUUGCCUUCACUAGAAGCUCUUCAAAAGCAAAAUAGCUAAGUGAAAAUAAUAACCAAUGUAAAAAUACAGAUAUGUUUUUCUUCAUGCUGGGCUGAGAUACACUGAUAUGUAUACAGUACUGUCAUCAUGCUGAGCUUUGCAUCAGUAAUGAUAGAGACAAAUGAAGGAGCAGAAUACAAAAAGCUUAACUGUCUUUGUGAAAACAAAUACUUAUUGUUUCAAUUUUUGCAGUUACUUCUGGUAAUAUAAUCAACAUUAUUUUAAAAGUAAAAUGCGUAUACAGGUCAGUGACAUUAAGGGUCCAAGAAAUAUUCUGUGUACAACAUAUUGCAUCAGUCCGGUUUCAGAUUUCAAUGAGAUGGGUUCUUUUAAUUGUUAUUUUAAUAUUUCAGUAUAGCUUUUUUUGGUCCCAUAGACAAAAAGUCAAUAGUUUCAAAUGCAUCUGAAGAGGAUAUUGAUGACAUAAGCCACUGACAUUUUCCACCUUUCUUCAUGUACUUGCAUGGAGGUUGUAUGUGAAAGAUAACUCUUCUUCUGCAGUCUAAGACAGAUUCUUCUACUUGCUGAAACACAUCCUGACAGACUUGAGACCAUAAAUUUUGCCAAGUUAUAUUAUGCCCUAUAUUUAGUAAGAUCUGAGCUGGUAUAUGUCUUGCACAACCUGAAGGGUAAGGAUGUUAUUUUUCCAGUUCUCAUGUGUAUUUUAAACAGUGUUUACUUUUAUGCAAUAGUAUUAUCCUUUUCUCAUGUUUUUGUGUCUUCAGAAGAGUAUCAGGAAAAAAAAAUCCUUCUUCCUUUAUGUUAUGCGUCAUUCUUUGCACUUUCACUUAUCUCCUUCAAAUUCGUUAUGAGAUUUGUAAAAUCCAUUGCAAUAUUAAUCCCUUAAUGAUUUCUUCUUUUCUGAUAUAUUUUUGUUUAGAUUUUUGUAUGUUCUCAGAUUUCCUUGAAUUGCUUCAAGUCGCAUAUUUUCAUCUUUCCUAGCUGCCAAGAAAUGCAGUUGUUGAAAUGAAUUUUGUGCACUGUAUUUCAAGCUGUCAUGCUUAGAAAAACAUUGAACAAAAAUGCAGGGCCAGGAGCCCGUCUCGAUGGCUGCUCUGUUAAGGUUGGAAUGGCUUCCAUGUAUAGCAAAUGUUGAAGCCCACUACAGUGCUCACAAACUAUUGAAAGGCACCGACCUUUUCAUUUAUGCCUACUUUUUUCUGCAGGGCUUGUCAGUGGGUAUGUAGAGGACCUGCUACCAUCUGUAGUUUGUGCAGUGAGUUUAAGUAAACUGUUCUCAAAUAAUUUCAUGACUAUUCUUAUCUGCAUAUCCCCAAUAUGUGUAUGUGUAAUGUAUGUGUAUGUGCUAAACCUCUAUGGUGUAAGGAGUGUGCUGUAAGAACCAGGUUCUGCACACAUGUGUGUAUGUGUACUUUCAUUUGCUAGGGGCAGUUCACUUUUCUACUCUGCCUCCUGUUACAUGAAUGAGAAUUAAACACGGAUACAUACUCCUACAUGUGAACAAAGUGUCCAGGCUCCCCAGAUAGAAAAUGUAGUUUCAGCCAAAAUAGUGAACAUGGCCAGGAGUACUAUUCAGCCCAUGUUAAAGCUAAUAAACACAUUGAAUAUGGUCCAGUGGUCUAUAAUUAUCCCAUCUGAUAUAUCCAACUGGUUUACAGAUGCUGCUGCAGAAGGAUAGAUGUGUCCUAUCCACCAAGCCCACUGGAGUGACUUGAAUGGGAUGAAAAACCUUAGAUGGUACAAGUUUCCAGUGAGAGCAGCUAAAUAAUCACAUUUGCUUAUCUGAGUAACUGCACUGUUGGCUCUAGUGAAUAGGUUUAUUUAAUAUUUUCUUUAGACACUGCUUCCAGCUAAAGGCGGGUUACAUAUUUCUAGAAUGCUACAAUUAACAGAAUGUCUAUCACAGUAGGCAUUCAGCUUUUAACUAGAGAAAAAGUAAUUAAAAAAAUAUAUUUUUCCCUCCUAGUGCUUUCCACAGACAAUAAAUGACAUGCAUGUUUAAUUUGCCAGUAUGCUUGGUAUAAUUCACUCUUCGAGUAUUAACAAAGCAUAAAUGAUUGCUGGUAGGGUGAGAGAACUGGAACUUCUUAUGCUAGGCCAUCUUCUCCACAGGACCAAAAUGAAGACAAGCAGUUCUUUGGAGAAGGUUUCCUAUUUAAUUUAUGAUAGUUAUCCAUAAUAGAGGUGCAGUGGGCUCAUCAGGACAGACAUGAUCCUUGCACUAACGCAUUGUAAUAUCAGUAUAGUUGGAUAGUUGGAUAGUCUUCAUAAAAAGAGAGCUUCUCUUCUAAUCAGAACACCCUAUGUAGCCUUUGAAUAACAUUAUUUCAGAAGCAGUGGUAUCAGAAUAAAUCAAGGUCAUCAAUAACCCAAUGCUUCUCAAAUUAUAUAUGUGUUUGAGAAAGCUGUUGAUAAGCAUCUAACCAUUUAUAUAGCAUCUCAUACAGAAAGGUACUACAAUAUGGGUAUUAAAUUGAGAUGAAAUGAGCCAUCAUUUGUCUAUUCUGACUGAUAGUAAUUAUAUUAUUUAUCUUUUUAAAACAUUUAUUUCAAGUAAAAGUGUGUACUUAGGAGGGAACAGCAUGUCUUUUAAAACAUGGUCACAGAAAUUUCCACUUGAGGGACAAAAUAGGUUUCUAGGUCCUGAAAACCAUUUCCAAGUGCAUAGCUCAAACUAAAAUUGAGUCAGGGUAAUUCUCUGGCCUUUAUCACACAACAGGCCAAAUUAGAGGAUCAUAGAGAUUUUAAUGGCUUCAUGAUUAAUGCAUCAUUUUUUAACAGUAUGCUUAGAUCUAAUUCUUUGUAAAGUUUUUAUUUUUUCUUUGGAGCAAGUGUGGAUGAAGCAAGGGCUUAAAAUUAGUUAAUUGUUGAAGUGCUUUGCACACUGGAGCUUGAGUCCUGACAUCCUGAGCUCUUUGUGACUUUCAGAAUCUUUGCAGUGUAACAUCCGUAAUAUUACACUUUCAGACAAAAUAUACAUCCUGCAGAAAUAUUUUAAAAGUUCAGUUUUGCUUGUAGAGGUAUAUUAAGAUAACGUAAAUGAUAUGAAGUUAAUAUUAGCUACCUGAAUUCUGUACCUUGUGGUAUAAAUUAUGAUCAGGUACAACUGCAUAAUAUAUCUUACAUUUCUAGUAUACUGCUGAAGUUUUUAAAAGUAAUGCAAUUGAAGAUAUUAGUUGGAUUGAUAUACUUAUUAGUUAAAUAAUUAAACAUCUACAGUAACACUGAACUUAAGUGAACUGACCCCUGAAGAAUAUAUCUUCAAUAGUAGUAACAUGAAGUAGCUGACUUAUGAAGUGUGACAAAUUCUCCAAAUAUGUCUUGGGGUCAUUACUUUCAUUACAAUGUACCUGUGCCUGCUAAAAUCAAUAAAUUCAUAGCAGCGUGAUGUAGCUCAAAAAGUAUCAAGGAGAGAAAUAAUAAAUACGUAUGCCUAUAAUAAAAGGUUCUACAUCUUUCUGUAUGAAAGAUUCAUCUUUCCAUCUCUCAUCCCCACUCCCUCUGGUUCUAUAGUUACAUUUCUCUGAAUAUUUCUGUUUCAAGUAGAGUUACAAACCUAAUUCACAGACAAUAGUAUGAUAGACAAAUUUAAUUCCAUUUGCAAAGUUUCUGUCAACUUUCUUUGUAUUGAUCAGUUACUCAUUCACCCAGUACUUCCAAAAACAUUUUCACAUGCUUUUGUUAUCAGUCUUAUAAUGCGUUGGGUUUCCAGGUUUCAGCUGUCAUUCUCAGGACUCCUAACAUCUCUGACAUCUGAAGUUGGGAUUCAGCACCAGAGAUCAUCUAAGUGUAAAUGUCUGCAAUGAACUUUAUGAGUUAGAUUAGAUUAAAUUACCAUGGCUUAGGUGUUUAACACUAUCUGAGAUGCCCCAUCUGAGGUGUGUAUGGAGAAAUGGUGAAUACAGUCCCAGCCAUGGCCUACUGCAUCCCACUGAUGAUGAUGUAAUACUAAUGAAGAUUGCAAAUCUUCUAUACAGCCUAUGUUGCAUCUGUUUUAUUUCAUCUCCAUGUCACAGAGCUUCUCAAAUAACUUUAGAUAACUAUGUUGAAGUAAUACAUUCUAUACAUAACUGUCUGUUUACAACAGUGGGAACUUGUUUGUAUGUAGACAUAUAAAUAUAUCUAAAUCAAAAACUAAGUAUAUCUCACUUUCCUUACUGAUACUCUGCAUUACUGAGAAAAACAGAGAAGCAUUUUUCAUUGUGAUAGAUAACAAAAUAGUAAUAUGGAUGACUUGGAUCAAAGCAGUAAUAGCACAUAAAUAAAGGGAGUUUAGAAAAAAUAUGCUUGUACAAGGGAGAAAUGAUGAAAUUAACAAGGGCAAGCUGUAUGAUAAAGAGAAGUGCAAAGUCCUACACCUGGAGAGGUGCAAUCUCAAGUACGUAUCCAUGUAAGUGGGCUAGAGCCCACUCAGAUCAAAAGCAGCUUGGGAGAAAAUUACCUGGGUCUCUUGAUGGACACCACACUGAAUAUGAUUCAGCAGCAUGUCUUUGCUGUAAAGAAAACCGUAAUAUCCUGGGCUGCACUAGGUAUCACCAGUGAGUGGAAGGAGGUAAUCCUUCCCUUCUGCUCAGCAUCGUUGAGACCAUAUCUGGAGUGACACAUCCAUUUCUGAGUCCUCCAGUACAAGAGAAACAUGUAACUACUGGAUGUCCCUCAGUACUCAACUACUCUGUGAUUCAGUGAGAUAUUCUACAUCAGCAAGGAUUUUACGUUUUCCCAAUAGCUGCUUUAUGUCUUCAAAAACAUUUGUUUAUAUGCAAAUAUUUUCUGUACUGAUUUUAUAACUAGCAAGCACUUGUUCUUAUCCAGGAACUACUGGGAAGUUUCCUGAUAUUGUACUGGCAUGAAUUCCUAGAAGAAUGCCAAUUUUCCAGAAAACUAAAAUAAAUUAGGAGAAAUAUGUAUAUGUAUUUUUUCCCAGACAAACAGUGUGUCUCUAUUGCAUGUGUUAUUUAGGGUUACUUCUUUAAAAUGAUUCUUACUUUUUCAGAAGUUUGCUAUGCAAUUACUUUGUACUUUUGUAGAAAAUAUGUUAUAAGAAAAAGAAAAUACAAGAAAGAUUUGGAUUUUUUUUCAUAAUCAACUGUUUAAAAUUAAACUUGAACUUUCAGCUACUUGAAUAUGUAUAUAACACUGAGUACUAGCAUAGUUUGCAUGCUUAAUCAUCUUUACUGCAUUAAGAUCUCUUGCUGAGAACAGUGUCUUUAUGUACAUGUGAAGAAAGGGAUAAAUAGCUUCAAUUUGAAUGUGCUGAAAACGUCAAACAUGAAAAUAACUAUUGCGUUUUUGCUGAUUGUGCCUUAAAAUACAUAUAUAUUUUUUUUAAUUACAUUUUUCACUGAACUAUUUCAGUAUUUGUAAGUUAGUCGUUUACACCAACGGUGGAUAUAGCUUAUGGUCUCAGAUGAUAGUUGGCAUUUCCUCCAUAUUCUCAGAAACAAUACAAAGAACUUAAGACAUUUAGUUUUCACACAAGCAGGAGUUUUCCAUCAGUAGCUUUAAAAGGUCAUUUUUUUUAAUAAUCCUUCCUUUAUAAUCCUUCUUCAGCAUGAUUUUACUCCUAAUGCUGAUGUUGACUUUUCUUGUAAGGACUGUCUUCAUCUUUUGUUACAAGGUUUUUAAAUAAUGUAAUAAAAUCUAGUGAUGUGGUCAUUGUCAUAUACUAAAAGCCUAUAGUCAAACAACUUCUGCCAGAAGUGGAAUUGGAAGCAUAAUCGGUGAUACUGUUUUGUAAAAUAAUGUGGGUUUAAUUAUGUUUUAUAAGCACUGAUGAGAAAGUAGUGUACUUGUUUAUCAUUAUCAAUCAUUAUCAUUUCGUCCAAUUUAUUUACUAUACUGUGUGCUACAUAUGUUUUAUCAGAAUCUCUCUAAAGUCAGCAUGUUGAAAUUAAUUAUUCUUAUAAUUGAGGAUUAAAAAAGCCCAACAAAACAAAACAAAAAAAACACUGCAGAGAAUCCCUUAGUUCCCCAUGGCAUAUUACUGGGAUGUCUUUUGAUAUGAGGAAGGUCUCAUAAUGCAUUGUGUUUUAUUCCUGUUUACAAACCCUGCUGAAAGAGCAUCAGUGAAACUAUUGCUUAAUCUUCUUGCUGGUAUUCUGAGUUAUAGCCCGAAUGUGAAAAUUCUUAUCUCCUUGUCAUAAGAGAAAACUGUUUUUUGGAUUUGAUUUUUAUGUAUUGAUGAUGUGUUUCUUGGUUUCUUGGUUUUUUUUUUUUUUCUUUGUUCACAAAAACUCUAGGUGUUUACUUUUAUUGCUUAUGUUCUGCAUUGUAAAACUUGCACCAAAAAAUCUAAAAUUCCUGUGUAGAUAAUAUAAAACUUUUUACUGGGGACUAAUAGUAUAACAAAGCUUCAAAUUAUUAUUAUUUUUUUAUAGCUUGAUAAGAGGGUUAAAUUUUUAAAUGUUCAAAAAGUAUUCCUACUGUUUUAGUAUUUAUAUGGUGCUGCUCAGAAGUACACUGCCUUCACAAAAAGUUCAUCUUGUGAUGGCUCAGGUGUAAGUUAGGUAGAGCAGCUGGAAUACAGAAAGACUCCUUUUCACCUAUCCGUACAUUGUAUAAUUAUUCACAUUGUAGAUGAAUGGGAGCAACUGUAAAUGCUACUUAAUGGAAAGAAAUAAAGAUUUCUCAAACACUGUUAGUAUUAGGAUUAGGUAUCUCAUGCAUGAGGAUGCCUAUUUCUCUCCAAUGACUUGAAGAAAUGGUUAAAAUUAGUUCCUUAGAGAUAGGUGUCAGUCAUGUAAACAUUAGGACAGAUAAAUUCCUGCUCAGAACAUCUGUCAUUUUACACUGGCAAGUACGCAACACCUCAUUAAUGCUAACUGAUAUUUUGCAUAAAUAGAGGCAACUGUACACACAUAGCCUACAUUUUUGUUAUCAUUUAAGGAGAUCUUUUUAUUCUAGCAAGAAAUAUUAAAAGAUCAGCGUCUCUGAAAAUCCAUUUUCUUUAUGGAAGGAUUGAUUGAUUUACGCAGAUUCUGCAUUUAAUGACAAAAUAUCCUGAAGUUAUAAUAUUUUAAUUCCAAUGUAUGUUUACUUGGUAAGAUGUUUUAAAUAUGAUUGGUAUGCCUAUUUAAGAAAGAGACUAUUAAAUGAAAUGGAAAUAAUUUAGUGACACCGAAGCACCAGCUACUAAGUGACCAUGUGUAUUUAGGGAACUAAACCAAGAUAUAAUCUGUUUUUAAAUAUAUAUAAACAUUAAAAUCUCCUCAUUUUCAUACUCUUGUAUGUUAAGUUAAAUGCAGUAUGCGUGUAAACAAAUAAGCAAAGUUUAUAAGACUUGCACCUUCUGAAAACAUUGGGCAAUGUACAAAGUACAUACCUAGAAAAUGACAUAUUUAGAUUUGACAUUUGAAAGAUAUAUCAACUGAUUGAGAACACUGUUUAAUCACUUCUCAGUACAUUUUGAGAGAAAGCAGUGUAUUUGAUCUGAAAUACUUACAAAUUAGGAAGUCUGAAUCAAGUGCAAGAAAUUAAAUUUCGUGAUGCCAUCUAUUACUUGCAGAAGAUAAUAAUAAUAUUGUUCAAACAGGGACUAAAAUAUAUUGCUGAAACAAUAUAUUUUAAGAAAGCUAUUACUCUGACUGAUAAAGUCAUUUAUGUGUAGAUAAUAGACACCAAUGGGGGUCAUGUUUUUAAAGUAAGUUUAAAUUGAUAGAUAUGCCCAGAAAUUUGUAAUUUCUUCAGGAAUUUGUUUGCUAUAAUUCGAUGUUCUGAGUCAACCAUUCAGAAGAACAGCAAUUUUGAAAAUGUCUUUUCAGUAAACAUGAAGCUAUGGUAAAGCCUCAUAUAUCUCAAUAAUCAAAUACUAUAUUCAGUGUGUUGAAGUAAUCAAAGAUGAGCAGAACACAUUGUGUAGGAAAAAAAAGAAUCAUAGCAUCUGUCAGGGCUUGUGGCUGUCUAGGAUAAGCAAAGCAUGAACUACAGGCCACUGAAUUUGUUAUAAGGAUUCCCACAUUUAUCAGUGCUUUGGAUCUGACUUGCUGCCCUGUAAGUUUUCAGAACUAGUGGCGUAUGUUAGUUAAGGUUUGUUCAGCUGCAAGGAGUCUCUAUGUGCUGUAGAAAACAAUAUCAUAGCUUAGAACCAUAGAAUCAUAGAAUAUCCUGAGCUGGAAUGGACACAAGAAUGAUUGAGUCCAACUCCGGGCUCCACACAGGACUACUCAAAAUUCAAACCCAAUGUCUGAGAGAGUUGUCCAAAUCUUUCCUGAACUCUAUCAGCUACAUGCCAUCACCAGUGUCCUGUGGAGCUUCUUGCAGUGCUCUUGCAGAGCAGAACCUUUCCCUAACCCCAAGCUUCCCCUCCCCUGACAGAGCUCCACAGCUCCAUGACGUUCCCUCUGGCCUUGUCACUGUCACAGAGAACAGAGUUCAGCACUGCCCCUCCACUCCCUGUGAGGAGCUGCAGCCACCAUGAGGCCUCCCCUCAGCUCCACUGCUCUGGGCUGAGCACACCCAGGGACCUCAGUGGCUCCUCUUAUGUCCUGCCCUCCAGAAUCUUCACCACCUUCAUGGCCCUCUUCUAGAUACCCUCUAACAGUUUUAUAUCCUUCUUGUAUUCUGGUACCCAAAACUGCACACAGUGCUCAAGAUGAGACCGCACAGCACAGAACAGAGCAGGACAGUCCCUCCCCUUGCCCAGCUGGAGCUGCUGGGUGUGGUACACCCCAGGGUACAGUUGUAUUUUUUGGCUGCCAGGGCACACUGCUGCUGGCUCCAACUCAAUUUGCUGUUAACUGGAAUUCCUAAAUCUCUUCUUGCAGAGCUGCUUUUUUUUUUUUUUUUUUUUUUUUUUUUUUUGACAAUUUGCAGAACAAAUUCUCAGCUACAAAACACUCUCUUUCAUUACAGUCACUACUGUUAGCUAUGCAUUUUUGUCAGUGAUGAAAAAGGGCCUGCGUGCUGUGCUAAUAAAAAUCUGCACUAGCAGAUAUGAACCCUCUGCUUCACAGCAGAUAGGACAGCAUCCUUGCUAGGAAAAUGUUGCCCACGCAGUCCAUUAUUCACCAGCCUGAACAAACGAAGGUCAGAAGGCACCAAAUCCAUGAUAUACUGGGGGUCUGUUAGUUCAGUCCAGGCAAGACUGGCAAUGUGGAGUACCCUGGAAUUAAUCCCAUCAUAUGCCAUAGGCUUAUAUGUAUCCUGCUGGAGGAGCAAAUUCUACACCAGUUCAGAUACAGAUUGGAAUUUAUUGUUCCUGAAGUCAUGAUAGUCCAAAUCAGGUUCCGGAGGUCCCAUGAGGGUCCUGAUAUCUGAAUUAUACUGAAAUAUUCAUCCUUCAGAAGCUAUUCCCAAGGUAAGCAAAAUGGUCGUACUGCUGUCAGAGGCAUUGUGACUGUUCUUGAAAAAAGGGGAUAAUAGAUGAAUGUGGAAUCUUCAUUCUCUACUUCCAUUAGAUUUCCCUUGACCUUCUGGUUCAUAGCUGAGUACGUUUUGGAUUGGGAAUGUAGAUAAGUAUCUAGAUUAAACCUGAACUGAAAGGUUCAUGUUUGAUUUUGUCUAUUUUAGUAGAAUCCUAUAUUGUUCCAAUUGAUCUCUGUAGACUUGAAAUGCUAAUCAUUAUCAAAAUAACUGCAUCUGAUAUAUAUUUUCCUACCACUUGUUGAAAAGACCAAGGCUGCUUUGUAGGGAGUACUGAGGAUCUUUUCCAUGCCAGAAUGGAGCCUUUGGUACUCAAGCUGACCUGGAAGGUGUUGUUAACAUCGUACAAGAUGGAAAAGUAGCAUAUGAUCAUACUAGCUUGACACUAAAGUCACUGUUGGAUCAGUUUUGUGCCAUUCCUUAUAAGCACUAGUUCUUCAUUGUAAUUCUCACCAGGCAGGUUCUUGCAGAUACAAUACUGCAAUAAUGAAACUACUAAAUCUGACUCUAGACUUUCUGUAACUACUGCGACAAUCAGUUAGCUCUGGCCACUGUAUUUUCCUCGAUACUUUAACUGAUACCUUUAGCUCAUGUAUGUCUGCAACUCCUACAGAUUUCCUCAUUUCUUGUGUCCUCCUUUUUUUUUUUUUUUUUUUUUUCUUCUUCUUUGCUACUGGUGAAUGCAGCAUCAUCUAAGCUAGAGUUACUUUUGUGAACAAUCAUGUAUUGUAAACUGGCAGUGACAUAAAUUCUAACAAAAUAAUUAGUUACAAAAUGUAACUAGUACGUUUUAACUUUCUAUAAAAAGCACUAGUGGUUAGAAAUAUUAAUGCCUAAUAUUAAGUACGAAAGUAUUAAGUGACUUGAUGACACCACCUGUUGUUGAUGUACCUUUGUCUAGGAUCUAAUUAGCAUAGAACAUCAUAGUUGUAGUGUCUCCCAGAGAAGUCUUCCAUUCAACAGAAGAUUAGACAUCAACAAGCAGUUUUGAAAUCUUUUUACAUACAAACAAGUUUUAACUAUAUAUAAAAACAAAUUGCAUCUAACCAUUCCUUUUAAAAAUAUAAACUUUGAUAUAGGCAGUAAAAUGACAAUCGUGAUCAGAAAGCUCAAUAAGUUGAAACUCAUCAUGUCUUCUUUAUAUCUAAAAUAAAUCUACCAUCUUUCUCUUUUAAACCAUUGCCCCUUGUCCUGUCACUACACUCAGUGAUAAAGAGUCCCUCUCAUCUUUCCUGUAGGUUCCCCUUACAUUUGGGAAGACUGCCAUAAGGUUUUCUUGGAACCUUCCCCUCUUGGGGCUGAACAAGACCAUUUGCUCAGAUUGUCUUAAAGGAGAAGAACUCCAGCCAUCUGAUUUUUCUCAUGGCCUUCUUCUGAAUCUGCUCCAUCAGAUCCAUCUCUCCCAUGUUAAUGGAGCCCCAUUGCUGAGCACAGUACUCAUAGAAUCAUAGAAUGGCCUGGGUUGAAAUGGACCACAAUGAUCAUCUAGUUUCAACCCCCC